rnacentral:rRNA from 1 species
CAGCCGUAAACUAUGCGCGUUAGGUGUACUGGUGACCACGAGUCACCGGGGUGCCGAAGGGAAACCGUGAAACGUGCCGCCUGGGAAGUACGGUCGCAAGGCUGAAACUUAAAGGAAUUGGCUGGGGAGCACCACAACGGGUGGAGCCUGCGGUUUAAUUGGACUCAACGCCGGAAAUCUCACCGGAUAGGACAGACAUAUGAUAGUCGGGCUGAAGACUCUACUUGAUGAUCUGAGAGGAGGUGCAUGGCGUCAGUGACU